rnacentral:rRNA from 1 species
CUGGCUCAGAACGAACGCUGGCGGCAUGGAUUAGGCAUGCAAGUCGAACGGGAGCAGCAAUGCUCCAGUGGCGCAAGGGUGAGGAACACGUGAACAACCUGCCUUCGAGUUGGGGAUAGCUUCUGGAAACGGGAGAUAAUACCGAAUAACAUCACCGGAUCGCAUGAUUUGGUGAUCAAAGCAGCAAUGCGCUUGAGAGGGGUUCGCGUCCCAUUAGCUAGUUGGUGAGGUAACGGCCCACCAAGGCGAUGAUGGGUAGCUGGUCUGAGAGGACGACCAGCCACAUUGGGACUGAGAUACUGCCCAGACUCCUACGGGAGGCUGCAGUCGAGAAUUUUGGGCAAUGGACGAAAGUCUGACCCAGCCAAUGCCGCGUGCGGGAUGAAGGUCUUCGGAUUGUAAACCGCUGUCAAGAGGGACGAAAUAUGACGGUACCUCUGGAGGAAGCCACGGCUAACUACGUGCCAGCCGCUGC